GGGUUGUGAGGUUAAGCGACUAAGCGUACACGGUGGAUGCCCUGGCAGUCAGAGGCGAUGAAGGACGUGCUAAUCUGCGAUAAGCGUCGGUAAGGUGAUAUGAACCGUUAUAACCGGCGAUUUCCGAAUGGGGAAACCCAGUGUGAUUCGUCACACUAUCAUUAACUGAAUCCAUAGGUUAAUGAGGCGAACCGGGGGAACUGAAACAUCUAAGUACCCCGAGGAAAAGAAAUCAACCGAGAUUCCCCCAGUAGCGGCGAGCGAACGGGGAGCAGCCCAGAGCCUGAAUCAGUGUGUGUGUUAGUGGAAGCGUCUGGAAAGGCGCGCGAUACAGGGUGACAGCCCCGUACACAAAAAUGCACAUGCUGUGAGCUCGAUGAGUAGGGCGGGACACGUGGUAUCCUGUCUGAAUAUGGGGGGACCAUCCUCCAAGGCUAAAUACUCCUGACUGACCGAUAGUGAACCAGUACCGUGAGGGAAAGGCGAAAAGAACCCCGGCGAGGGGAGUGAAAAAGAACCUGAAACCGUGUACGUACAAGCAGUGGGAGCCUCUUUAUGGGGUGACUGCGUACCUUUUGUAUAAUGGGUCAGCGACUUAUAUUCUGUAGCAAGGUUAACCGAAUAGGGGAGCCGAAGGGAAACCGAGUCUUAACUGGGCGUUAAGUUGCAGGGUAUAGACCCGAAACCCGGUGAUCUAGCCAUGGGCAGGUUGAAGGUUGGGUAACACUAACUGGAGGACCGAACCGACUAAUGUUGAAAAAUUAGCGGAUGACUUGUGGCUGGGGGUGAAAGGCCAAUCAAACCGGGAGAUAGCUGGUUCUCCCCGAAAGCUAUUUAGGUAGCGCCUCGUGAAUUCAUCUCCGGGGGUAGAGCACUGUUUCGGCAAGGGGGUCAUCCCGACUUACCAACCCGAUGCAAACUGCGAAUACCGGAGAAUGUUAUCACGGGAGACACACGGCGGGUGCUAACGUCCGUCGUGAAGAGGGAAACAACCCAGACCGCCAGCUAAGGUCCCAAAGUCAUGGUUAAGUGGGAAACGAUGUGGGAAGGCCCAGACAGCCAGGAUGUUGGCUUAGAAGCAGCCAUCAUUUAAAGAAAGCGUAAUAGCUCACUGGUCGAGUCGGCCUGCGCGGAAGAUGUAACGGGGCUAAACCAUGCACCGAAGCUGCGGCAGCGACACUAUGUGUUGUUGGGUAGGGGAGCGUUCUGUAAGCCUGCGAAGGUGUACUGUGAGGUAUGCUGGAGGUAUCAGAAGUGCGAAUGCUGACAUAAGUAACGAUAAAGCGGGUGAAAAGCCCGCUCGCCGGAAGACCAAGGGUUCCUGUCCAACGUUAAUCGGGGCAGGGUGAGUCGACCCCUAAGGCGAGGCCGAAAGGCGUAGUCGAUGGGAAACAGGUUAAUAUUCCUGUACUUGGUGUUACUGCGAAGGGGGGACGGAGAAGGCUAUGUUGGCCGGGCGACGGUUGUCCCGGUUUAAGCGUGUAGGCUGGUUUUCCAGGCAAAUCCGGAAAAUCAAGGCUGAGGCGUGAUGACGAGGCACUACGGUGCUGAAGCAACAAAUGCCCUGCUUCCAGGAAAAGCCUCUAAGCAUCAGGUAACAUCAAAUCGUACCCCAAACCGACACAGGUGGUCAGGUAGAGAAUACCAAGGCGCUUGAGAGAACUCGGGUGAAGGAACUAGGCAAAAUGGUGCCGUAACUUCGGGAGAAGGCACGCUGAUAUGUAGGUGAAGUCCCUCGCGGAUAGAGCUGAAAUCAGUCGAAGAUACCAGCUGGCUGCAACUGUUUAUUAAAAACACAGCACUGUGCAAACACGAAAGUGGACGUAUACGGUGUGACGCCUGCCCGGUGCCGGAAGGUUAAUUGAUGGGGUUAGCGCAAGCGAAGCUCUUGAUCGAAGCCCCGGUAAACGGCGGCCGUAACUAUAACGGUCCUAAGGUAGCGAAAUUCCUUGUCGGGUAAGUUCCGACCUGCACGAAUGGCGUAAUGAUGGCCAGGCUGUCUCCACCCGAGACUCAGUGAAAUUGAACUCGCUGUGAAGAUGCAGUGUACCCGCGGCAAGACGGAAAGACCCCGUGAACCUUUACUAUAGCUUGACACUGAACAUUGAGCCUUGAUGUGUAGGAUAGGUGGGAGGCUUUGAAGUGUGGACGCCAGUCUGCAUGGAGCCGACCUUGAAAUACCACCCUUUAAUGUUUGAUGUUCUAACGUUGGCCCCUGAUCGGGGUUGCGGACAGUGUCUGGUGGGUAGUUUGACUGGGGCGGUCUCCUCCUAAAGAGUAACGGAGGAGCACGAAGGUUGGCUAAUCCUGGUCGGACAUCAGGAGGUUAGUGCAAUGGCAUAAGCCAGCUUGACUGCGAGCGUGACGGCGCGAGCAGGUGCGAAAGCAGGUCAUAGUGAUCCGGUGGUUCUGAAUGGAAGGGCCAUCGCUCAACGGAUAAAAGGUACUCCGGGGAUAACAGGCUGAUACCGCCCAAGAGUUCAUAUCGACGGCGGUGUUUGGCACCUCGAUGUCGGCUCAUCACAUCCUGGGGCUGAAGUAGGUCCCAAGGGUAUGGCUGUUCGCCAUUUAAAGUGGUACGCGAGCUGGGUUUAGAACGUCGUGAGACAGUUCGGUCCCUAUCUGCCGUGGGCGCUGGAGAACUGAGGGGGGCUGCUCCUAGUACGAGAGGACCGGAGUGGACGCAUCACUGGUGUUCGGGUUGUCAUGCCAAUGGCACUGCCCGGUAGCUAAAUGCGGAAGAGAUAAGUGCUGAAAGCAUCUAAGCACGAAACUUGCCCCGAGAUGAGUUCUCCCUGACUCCCUGAGAGUCCUGAAGGAACGUUGAAGACGACGACGUUGAUAGGCCGGGUGUGUAAGCGCAGCGAUGCGUUGAGCUAACCGGUACUAAUGAACCGUGAGGCUUAACCUUACAACGCCGAAG
rnacentral:rRNA from 1 species